rnacentral:rRNA from 1 species
GGCUCACCAAGGCAAUGACGGGUAGGGGGUGUGAGAGCAUGAUCCCCCAGAAUGGAACUGAGAUACGGUCCAUACACCUACGGGUGGCAGCAACUAGGAAUCUUGCGCAAUGGGCGAAAGCCUGACGCAGCGACGCCGCGUGCGGGAUGAAGGCCUACGGGUCGUAAACCGCUGUGGUUUGUUAUCAUGACAAACUAGAAAGCACCUGCAAACUACGUGCCAGAAGCCUCGGUAAUACGUAGGGUGCAAGCGUUAUCCGGAUUUACUGGGCGUAAAGAGUAUGUAGGCGGUAAGUAAAGUUUUACCUUAAAGCCUGAGGCUUAACUUUAGAUCUGGGUAAAAUACUUACUUACUAGAAGGUUAAAGGGGGAGCUGGAACUUUCGGUGGAGCAGUGAAAUGCGCUGAUAUCGAAAGGAACACCAAGGGCGAAGGCAGGCUCCUGGGUAACCCUUGACGCUGAGAUACGAAAGCUAGGGUAGCAAAGCAGAUUAGAGACCUGCGUAGUCCUAGCCGUAAACGAUGUCUGCUAGAUUAUCAGUUUAACUUCGGUUAAACCGAGAGUCGUAAGCUAACGCGUUAAGCAGACCGCCUGGGGAGUACGGUCGCAAGGCUAAAACUCAAAGGAAUUGACGGGGGACCGCACAAGCAGUGGAGCAUGUGGUUCAAUUCGAGACAAAGCGAAGAAUCUUACCAGGGCUUGACAUGUACCUGCAAAUCUAUAGAAAUAUAGACUCUUUUGAAGGCGGUACACAGCUGCUGCAUGGCUGUCGUCAGCUCGUGCCGUGAGUUGUACCCUUAAGUGGGGUAACGAGCGCAACCCCCGCUGUAUGUUAUAUUUCAUACGGGACUGCCUCGGCAAAACCGGGGAGGAAGGAGGGGAUGACGUCAAGUCAGCACGGCGCUUAUGUCCUGGGCUACACACAUCCUACAAUGGCGAAGAACAACGGGUUGCAACAUCGCAAGGUGAAGCUAAUCUCUGAAAUUUCGCCUCAGUUCGGAUUGAGGGCUGAAAUUCGCCCUCAUGAAGUUGGAAUUGCUAGUAAUCGCGGAUCAGCAGGUCGCGGUGAAUACGUUCUCGGUCCUUGUACACACCGCCCGUCAAGUCAACAAAGUUGGGGAUACCCGAACUUCGAUCCUGUCGAAGGAAGGUAAAAUCAGCGAUGGGGACUAAGUCGUAACAAGGUAUCCGUUCUGGAAGG